UAAAGGCUCUAGUGGCGCAGCUAACGCGAUAAGUACUCCGCCUGGGGACUACGGCCGCAAGGCUAAAACUCAAAGGAAUUGACGGGGACCCGCACAAGCGGUGGAGCAUGUGGUUUAAUUCGAUGCAACGCGAAGAACCUUACCUGGUCUUGACAUCCUGCGAUCUUUCUAGAGAUAGAUUGGUGCCUUCGGGAACGCAGUGACAGGUGCUGCACGGCUGUCGUCAGCUCGUGUUGUGAAAUGUUGGGUUAAGUCCCGCAACGAGCGCAACCCCUAUUGAUAGUUACCAUCAUUAAGUUGGGUACUCUAUUGAGACUGCCGCUGACAAGGCGGAGGAAGGUGGGGACGACGUCAAGUCAUCAUGGCCUUUACGACCAGGGCUACACACGUGCUACAAUGGGUAUUACAGAGGGCUGCGAAGGAGCGAUCUGGAGCGAAACUCAAAAAGGUACUCUUAGUCCGGAUUGCAGUCUGCAACUCGACUGCAUGAAGUCGGAAUCGCUAGUAAUCGCAGGUCAGAAUACUGCGGUGAAUACGUUCUCGGGUCUUGUACACACCGCCCGUCACACCAUGGGAGUGGGUUGCUCCAGAAGUAGAUAG
rnacentral:rRNA from 1 species